UGGCUGUGGGCCCAGCACGUUCCUACAGACAGAGAAAUCCCUCAGACUGCAUACAGCCUUCAGGAGAAGGCCAAGAGAUGAGACAGAAGCGGCAGGCCAGUGACAACAGCCGUGUUAAUAACCCCUAAAAGGAGCAGGGGGAGCAGAGCCAGGGACAACAGCCUCUGGACCUCCUGAGGGAGUCAAGAUGGUCUCAGGGCAAGCUGUGAGCCUCACCGGGAAGGCUCUUCCGCCCGCAUCCACAAAGGCUUAGCUGCUGGCAGGGUAGGAGCUAGAUAAGGAAGCAUCUCGGGUCUGCUUUUCAAGCCUACACACGUGUUCUCUAGGACCAGGGAAGAGUCUGGGGACCUCCUGGAGCCAGCAGAACACACGGAGUACCAGGAAUUCAUGACGAGAGCUCCCAGGUGGUCCCAGUUUGAAUGCACAGUCUACCAAGGUUGGGACACCAUGGCAGCCCAAGCGUGAGGCAGCCAGUGACAGGGUGUUUACUGUGAGGAAACAGAAGAAAGAGGGGAUGUGGUUCACCUCGCCUUAUCCUCUUUACUGCCUGGAACCUCAGCCCAAGGAAUGGCGCUACCUACCUGCAAGUUCUGGAGGCCAAGAAGACCAUGAUCGGAUCUCCAGAAGACUCUAUAUCUGGGGGAAGAGACAUGUAUUCCUCUCUCUAUUAGGACACUGUGAGAGCAGAAUAGGGUACAGACAAGGCCAAGAGUCAGGGGCUCCACAAGGCCCGACUCAUCAUUUGCCGACCCUGCUCGAGAGGCCAGCUAUGAUGGUGGCAGGGUGUGCCCCGAGGCUCAGAUGCCCUCAGGCAGAGCAUUCAAGGGAUGACCUGGACAGACAGUAGGACACCAACUACAUACCAGGUGGAGUGAUGGGACAAGGCAGCAAGCCAGAGGAAGUCAAUAGCUUCAGGGAGAAAUUCUGCACACUGCUUGCCGGGAGUCACGUCGACAGUCUUAGCACAGGGCACCCCCUACUCUUAGCUCGUGUCACAGCCUGUGGGGGGGGGGCACCAGGGCUGUCAGCGGCAGUGAGGUAUGGGUUGGAGACACAGCUGCCACCUGGAGCAUCCUGGGGUGCUCUUUUCCAUAACCUCCUCCCCAGGGGUAGCUGGGAUUCUUGACUUUGCUGCUAGGAAUUUUAAGUAAGAGCCUGAAUGAAGCAAAGUUGGAGUUUAUUACGAAGACGUUUUAACAGGAAUUUGAGCAGGGCACUAAGGGGAAGGAUAAGAUAGCCAAGCAAGGCUUCCCUAGAGAGUCUGCUUAGGUGUCUUUAUAGCAGAGGAUCUCAGCCUUCCUAACGCUGCGACCCUUUAAUAUACAGUUCCUCGUGUUGUGGUGACCCCCUAACC